UAAGAAGAGAGAAUGCCGGAAUGAGUAGCGAGAGGAAGGUGGGAAUCCUUCCGGCCGAAUAUCUAAGGUUUCCAGAGUAAAGCUGAUCUGCUCUGGGUAAGUCGGGGCCUAAGGAGAGGUCGAAAGACGUAUCCGAUGGACAACAGGUUUAGAUUCCUGUACCACAUAUAAACAGAACUGUGGGGACGCACGUGGAAAGCAUAAGCCGGGAAUGGAAAUACCGGUACAAACGGAAGAGGUGUCAGGCUGGCAAAUCCGCCUGAUAAGCCAAAGACGUGAUGUGGAGCGAAAUAAAAGUAGCGAAGUAUGUGAGCCAUGUGCCGAGAAAAGCCGCUAUCGUUUUAUAUGUGCCCGUACCGUAAACCGACACAGGUGGAUGAGGAGAGAAUCCUAAGGCCGACGGAAGAAGCAUUGUUAAGGAACUCGGCAAAAUGACCCCGUAACUUCGGGAGAAGGGGUGCCCACUUCAGGGUGGGCCGCAGAGAAUAGGCUCAAGCAACUGUUUAGCAAAAACACAGGUCUAUGCGAAACCGUAAGGUGAAGUAUAUGGGCUGACGCCUGCCCGGUGCUGGAAGGUUAAGAGGAGAGGUUAGUCGCAAGAUGAAGCUUUGAAUUUAAGCCCCAGUAAACGGCGGCCGUAACGGUAACGGUCCUAAGGUAGCGAAAUUCCUUGUCGGGUAAGUUCCGACCCGCACGAAAGGCGUAAUGAUUUGAGCACUGUCUCGACAAUGCAUCCAAAAUUGAAGUACCAGUGAAGAUGCUGGUUACCCGCGCCAGGACGGAAAGACCCCAUGGAGCUUUACUCCAGUUUGGUACUGGGAUUCGGUACUGCAUGUACAGGAUAGGUGGGAGACUGAGAAAUUGGAACGCCAGUUUCAAUGGAGUCACUGUUGGGAUACCACCCCUGCAGUAUUGGGUUUCUAACCAGCCGCUGUGAUCCAGCGGUGGGACAAUGCCAGGCGGGGAGUUUGACUGGGGCGGUCGCCUCCGAAAGGGUAUCGGAGGCGCUCAAAGGUUCCCUCAGAAUGGUCGGAAACCAUUUGAAGAGUGCAAAGGCAGAAGGGAGCUUGACUGCGACACCGACGGGUGGAGCAGGUACGAAAGUAGGACUUAGUGAUCCGGUGGCAUAAAGUGGGAUUGCCAUCGCUCAACGGACAAAAGCUACCCUGGGAUAACAGGCUUAUCACUCCCAAGAGUUCACAUCGACGGAGUGGUUUGGCACCUCGAUGUCGGCUCAUCGCAUCCUGGGGCUGUAGCAGGUCCCAAGGGUUGGGCUGUUCGCCCAUUAAAGCGGUACGCGAGCUGGGUUCAGAACGUCGUGAGACAGUUCGGUCCCUAUCCGGCGCGGGCGGAGGAUAUUUGAGAGGAGCUGUCCUUAGUACGAGAGGACCGGGAUGGACGGACCACUGGUGUAUCUGCUGUCGACCAACGGCAUGGCAGAGUAGCCAAGUCCGGAAGGGAUAAACGCUGAAGGCAUCUAAGCGUGAAGCCCCCCUCAAGAUGAGAUAUCCCUCACAUAAGUGAGUAAGAUCCC
rnacentral:rRNA from 1 species